rnacentral:rRNA from 1 species
GAUUAACGCUGGCGGCGUGCCUAACACAUGCAAGUCGAGCGGCAGCGAGUUUUACACUGAAUUCUGGAAGCUUCUAGUUGCAAGAGAAGAUUUAUUCAAGAAUUUUGUGUAAAAUGUCGGCGAGCGGCGGACGGCUGAGUAACGCGUGGGAACGUACCCCAAAGUGAGGGAUAACGCAUCGAAAGGUGUGCUAAUACCGCAUAUGGUCUUCGGAUUAAAGCCUUCGGGCGCUUUGGGAACGGCCUGCGUAAGAUUAGAUAGUUGGUGGGGUAAUGGCCUACCAAGUCGACGAUCUUUAACUGGUUUGAGAGGAUGAACAGUCAGACUGGAACUGAGACACGGUCCAGACUCCUACGGGAGGCAGCAGUGAGGAAUCUUCCACAAUGGGCGAAAGCCUGAUGGAGCAACGCCGCGUGCAGGAUGAAGGCCUUCUGGUUGUAAACUGCUUUUAUAAGUGAGGAUUAUGACAGUAACUUAUGAAUAAGGAUCGGCUAACUACGUG